rnacentral:rRNA from 1 species
UUGACGGGACCCGCACAAGCGGUGGAUGAUGUGGUUUAAUUCGAUGCAACGCGAAAACCUUACCCACCUUUGACAUGUACGGAAUCCUCUAGAGAUAGAGGAGUGCUCGAAAGAGAGCCGUAACACAGGUGCUGCAUGGCUGUCGUCAGCUCGUGUCGUGAGAUGUUGGGUUAAGUCCCGCAACGAGCGCAACCCUUGUCAUUAGUUGCUACGAAAGGGCACUCUAAUGAGACUGCCGGUGACAAACCGGAGGAAGGUGGGGAUGACGUCAAGUCCUCAUGGCCCUUAUGGGUAGGGCUUCACACGUCAUACAAUGGUCGGUACAGAGGGUUGCCAACCCGCGAGGGGGAGCUAAUCCCACAAAGCCGAUCGUAGUCCGGAUCGCAGUCUGCAACUCGACUGCGUGAAGUCGGAAUCGCUAGUAAUCGUGGAUCAGCAUGUCACGGUGAAUACGUUCCCGGGUCUU